GCGGGACGUUGGAUGCGAGUGUUUCUUGUUGUGUCUUUUUUAGUUCAAAAGAACAGUUUGGAUUUGAAUUAUCAAACUAUAAUUGUACAAAAUUUGAAGGCAUUGCAAGCGAUACGAGAUUGGCCGAAGUCACUGCCGCCAUUACGGAAUUUUCCCUCAGAACGGAGAGCGGGAAACCAACUACAAGCAUCAACUAAGCUAAGGCAUGCAUGGCUUUGGCAUCUUUAUCAUCGGAGGAACUUCUGAGGCUGAGCUUGAAUUAUCAGAGGAACAGAAGAGAGAAUUCAAAGAUGGAUUACAGAGCUGCUCUGGUUUUACUUCCUGUGAUAUUUCUGGAGAAAGUGGACAAUUAUGUCAAAAUUGGAAUCGGAAAGGAUAAACCAGCUAGACCAUAUCCCACUUGACAGAUUUUGGGAAAGUAUGACAGAAACAGGUCUUGAGUGAGAAGAGAAUCUUCAGCGCUGUGAAAAUGGAGGGAUCUGAAAUUUGCCAAGCAGUUGGGGUCUAGGAUGAAGUUCUUUCUGCUUUUUGUGUGUAUUUUGUGCACAACAGGAACACCCUGCUCUUUCUCCAGAGGCAUGUGUUGAAGGUAGCGACACUUGGUGACAAGUCAUUGCCAACUGCUGUUGUCAGGAUUAUUCAUCUUUUGUCCUAGACUCAGAGCAUGCCACGGCCCUAUGCUUGUCCAAAGUCUUCACAUCGACAUUUUACUGCAGUAAAACUAAUUAAACAUAUAGGCUUGAUUCAUGCUCAUUAGCCUAAUUUUUCAAUCUGCUGCGGACUUGAUGAGUGUCUGCGUUUCUUUUGCAAAAACGAGUCUGCUGUGCCUACAGAGGAUGUUCCAAUAUUCUUUCAGGUUAACAUUGUUGAUACUGUGUGGAAAACUGUUGCUUCCACAUUUGUUUGAUUCUCAUUUUCAUGCAUUUCAAGUGUUUCAUAUGACAAGGACUGGUUUUGUUUGAUGCAAGGAGAUUAACUGGACUACCUGGCACUUGACCUCCUAUAUGGUUGAUGUUGUUUUCUAUGUAGGAGCUAGAUAUUUGUAGUCACUUAACAUGUUUUUGUAGAAUUGUCACAAUGUUUUUUGGAUGUUUUGCGUUAUACAUCACAUUCGUUUGUAUUAGGAAUAAUUUAAGCUUUAAAAUGUUAAUGUUACGAUUGUAAUGUUGAUGGUAUAUUUCAGGCAAUAUUGACAAUUGUGUCAUCAUACACACACCCUCAAGUUGAUCCAAACCUGUAUACAUAUCUUUUGUUCUGCUGUACUCAAAGGAAGGUAUUUGAAAUAAUGUCAGUAACCAAACAGAUCUCGCCCAGCAUUCACAAUGAUGGUAUUCUUUCUACUAUAUAGUCCAUGAUGGGAGAGACCUGUUUGGUUACCAACAUUCUUCCGCAAUAUCUUACUUUGAGUACAGCCGAACAAAGAAAUGUAGCUUAUAUGUAGCUCAGUGGUAAGAGCAUGGUCGUGGGUUCAAUCCCAGGGGAUUGCACAUACUAAUAUAUAAAAUGUAUAGGAAAACGCAGUGUAAGUUGCUUUGGAUAAACGUGUCUGCCAAAUGCAUAAAUGUUAAUGUAUACAGCAGAAAAAAUAAAUGUAUACGGGUUUGGAUCAUCUUCAGGGUGAGAGAAUGACGACACAAUUCAUUUUUUUGUCUCAACCAUAACCUUAAUGACUGGUAUUGCACGAAAAGCCAUAUAAAAAAAUAUGAAUUUGAUAAAAUGUAUUGUGAACAGUUUUUGACAAGUAUUAUAUUGUUGAUGGGAAAUUGUAUUUUACACUAUAUAUUCAUGUUUUAGUAAAAUGGUUUGCAUCCAAAAGAGAAAUGUUUUAAAAAUGUGAUUUUAUGUUUUUACUUUUUAUUGUUAAGUAGAUUCUACUGUAUGCUAAAGAACAGUGUUGGUUCAAACACCUA